rnacentral:RNase_P_RNA from 11 species
AUUUUUGGAUAAUCGCAUGGGAUAACCAUGAGGAAAGUCCAUGCUAGCACUGGCUGUGAUGCCGGUAGUGUUUGUGCUAGACGAAAAAAUAAGUCUAGGGACAUGGUGACAUGUUACGGCGGAUAAAAUGACUAAGUCUUCUGAUAGGUCAGAGUUAUCCUGAAAGUGCCACAGUGACGUAGUUUUUAUGGAAACGUAAAAAGUGGAACGCGGUAAACCCCUCAAGCUAGCAACCCAAACUUUGGUCGGGGCAUGGGAAAGCUGGAAACGAACAGUCUUUCCUGACUGCAUAAGCAGUAGACAGAUGAUUAUCGAAGGCGGCAGAGCCUAGUGUCGCUGGAACAAAACAUGGCUUAUAGAA